ACUUCAGGGGUGCAUGGCGCCUCAGUGUUGUGUGCCCAAAUGUGCGUCCUCAAAGAGAAAAAAUCCUACCGUGGACAGACUUUCCACCGUUUCCCCAAAGAGCAGGCACUUCGCCGUGAAUGGAUAAAUCACGUCAAAAGGGAUCCUGGUCCAUAAUUCAAGAUCAACGCUGAGACCAAGGUUUGCUCUGAGCACUUUGAGAAGCAGUGUUUUGUAAAGACCGCCCGUGGUAUCACAGAGCUUAUAAAGGAUGCUGUGGCAACUUUGUUCGCCUGGACUUCAGAGAGGCCAAAGAGGAGAAUCAUCAUUCGCAGACCGAGUACGGAUUCCAUGGAGGUGGAUGAAAACCAGCCUGAUGUGAGAAGGGAUGCCUUGAGCACAGAUGUACCUCCUCCACAGCCAUACCAUGAUUAUGCUGUUCCACCGCUGACACCAGAGGGACAACUUGAGGCGGCACGCAAGCACAUCAUAGAGCAAGACAAGUUAAUAGCACAACUUAAAGGGACACUGUGUGAGAUUUUUAUUUGUUUAUUUCCAGAAUGCAUGCUGCCCAUUCACUAAUGUUAACUUUUUCAUGAAUACUUACCACCAGCAUCAAAUUCUAA